CCAUAUCGAUCAUCAAAGUUAAGCAACGUCGAGCCUGGUCAGUACCUAGAUGGGUGAGCGCUUGGGAAGACAAGGUGUUGUAAG